rnacentral:rRNA from 1 species
AGCCGAGCAGGGUUUAAGUGAGGCUUAUGCUUUAGCAUAUUUCGAACUUAAGCUCAGCAAGGAGGGACAAGUCGUCACAAGGUAGCCGUAGGGGAACCUACGGCUGGAUCACCUCCUUU